AGCUAGAAGUACUACUUUUCUAGUUUAACCUGCCCAAUGUUUUGAUGGAUUAAUGGCCGCGGUACCCUGACCGUGCUAAGGUAGCGUAAUCAGUUGGCUUUUAAAUGGAGUCAGGAAUGAAUGGAAUAACCUGGUUUAGCUGUCUCCCUUCCAUUAGAUUGAAUUUACUUUCUAAGUGAAAAAGCUUAGGAUAGGAAAAGGGACGAGAAGACCCUUAGAAUUUUACUUAAAAGGUGUUAGGCAUUCAUUUUGUUGUUUUGUUGGGGUGACAUGGAAAUAUUUAAUAACUUUCCUAAUUAGACAAGACAAAUAUAAUAAGAAAGAGAAAAUUACCUGAGGGAUAACAGCAUUAUUCUAUAAAUGAGUUUGUGACCUCGAUGUUGGACUAGGAAGCUAGCAAAUUAGCCGUUUGUUGUGCUGGUUCUGUUCGAACUGGAAUUCCU
rnacentral:rRNA from 1 species